rnacentral:lncRNA from 1 species
AUUUUAUUAAAUUUUUGGUAGAACAUUUUAUUGCAUAAAAACAACAAAUUUAUCAUGUUUAUUACACCCAAUAAUAGUAAAUUUUCAUCAUUCAAAUAUAAUGAAUAUCAUAAAAAUAAUAAAUUGUGUUUUAAUAAAAUUAAAUCCCCUGAAUCUCUAUAUGUAUUACAUCAAGAAAAUGGUAUGUAAAACAUUACAAAUCAUCAACUCUACAAGGUGGAAGCUAAGCAAUACUCUUAUCAACAAUGUUUUGUUUUUAAAUUCCAAGUUGUUCUUUCCCUGGUAUUCAUAAAGCUAUGUUUAAAAAAAAUCCUCAAUAUAUAUAUAUUGUCCAUAACCAGACUCCAGAGGAACAAUAUGUACAGUAAAUAACUCUUGAUAUGAUUGACCAUGUUGACUUAAACAUGUUUUUUUUUACAUUAAUUCUAGAACAAGCUAAUCCACAUUGAAUAAAUCUAUUUUAAACUUAUUUAAGCUUUUCAUUAACGACCUGCCUCCAAAAUUUGAGCCAAGUCCAGAUGCUGUUGAUAUCAAUGGGCGUAGAAUUGAUUGUCUUAUGUAUGCUGAUGACAUUAUUGUAUUAUCAAACACUAAAAAGUCUUUCAAAACCGACUUGAUAUAUUGCAUAUUAUUGUAUUGACUGGUGUCUAGAUGUAAAUUUGUCCAAAACAAAAGUUUUUUUUAACAAGCCUGGAAAAUUUUGAAGGAAUCAUUUUCUUUAGAUAAGAGGCUUAGAAUGUGUUAAUAAAUGUAAAUAUCUAAGGAUAGUCUUUACCUCUAGUGGUCUUUUUCAACAGGGAAAGAAGAGCUAUUUCAAAAAAUCCUUAAAGGCAAAAUUCAAAUUACAAAAAUCCAUGUAGCUUGUAAUCAAGUAUUGAUACUGAAUUCAUUUAUAUGAUCACCAAUAAAACCAAUUUGUAUAUUGUAGUGAAAUUUGGG